rnacentral:pre_miRNA from 1 species
UAUAUACUCCCUCCGUCCCAAAAUUCUUGUCUUAGAUUUGUCUAGAUACGGAUGUAUCUAACACUAAAACGUAACUAGAUACAUCCGUAUUUAGACAAAUCUAAGACAAGAAUUUUGGGACGGAGGGAGUAUAAU